UUCUUUUCAUCCCAAAUCAGUUUGACCUGAUAAAUAUUAAAAUAAAUCAGAAAGAUUUAGAGGAACUUAAACUGUAGGAAAGAUUUGAACAGGAGCAAGUGGGUACUUCGAGACUGCAGCUAGGGCUCUGACUAGGCCUUAAUGGUAUUCUUGAAAUUAACAUUCAACUUGGUACACAUACUUCAGCCCAUGAUUUGGUUACAGGUGGCUCUGUUCAUUUUCAAUCUGCUCCCAACGAUCACAAAGCAAACCAUUGUGCAGCGGAUCUGACACUGAUGGGUCAAAUUCAAAGAAUGAGAAAGAAAAAAGUUCUUACUUCCAGAAUGGAGGUGUGUUUACAAAUACUAAGUUGAGCAUUAAUGGAGAGCCAGGAACGGAUCAUGUUAUGCUCACUGACUGGGAAUUCUAGUGGCUAUUGUGGGCUGGAGAUUCUAUAAUGAACCUGCCACUGUAAUUCAAACGUCGCUAUGUUACCAACAAUAAAUCUGUGAGAGUGGGACUGAACAUGAAGAAGAAUGGCAUGGAAGGUGACAGAGAGGGAGGAGAAUUAUGUGAUUAGGCAUCCCCUGGCUACACAGCACAGGAAGCAAUAAGUUUCUCUCAGGAUGUCUGUACAUAGGUCUGUUCAUUUUUUUUUUUUGUUAACCAGCCUGGGUGUUUUCAGGUUCCUGUCUGGGGAAGAUGCGUUAGAGAUUUCCAAUUUUAGGCAUGGCAUGAUGCCUAUAAAGGCAAAAUUACAGUCUUAGUCUUUUCAUUCACUUGAGAGAUGUGACCCUAGUUAAGAUCAAGGGGGAGACAAGGUAGCACUGUAAUGACCCUGGUGACCCCGUCAAGUCUCCCUCUCAGCUACCACUCUGACAAUACUGAAAGAGUGUGUUCUGCCACUUGGACAUUUCAUGUCAAUUUGUAACAUUUUCAAGAUGGAUAGCAUUGGAGAAGAUGACCAGUAGAGAGUUCUGGUGAGCUUUGUCAGCAGAUCAAACCUUACUGGGACCCACUGACUCGUUCAACACAAGUGCGGAAUCUACACAUCUUUGCAAACAAGAUACAUCCAAUGAACAACUAAUGACUCCAAAUUCGAACUUAGUUUCUAAGAAAUGAACUUCAUUGUAGCAUGUCAAAAUAGUUGAUGACUUGACUCCCAUAAUGUUCAGCCUAGCCUGUGAGUUCAACGGCUAACCGGUGAGACUUCAACUCACAGAGAAGAGAUGAGGAACUCAAGACCCCUUGUCAAGAUUUAUCUUGAACAUGGUUAUUUAGUAACUUUCUUUGUUGCUUUUCUACACAGAGAUGAAUAUGAAACAAAGAUUGAGGACUCAAAACUUGAACGUGAACAAAAUUCUUCCCAAAUUGAAAAAACAAAGAGUGCUGCUAAAUUCCAAAAUUGAGAUGAUGACCAAGCAAUAAAUCAAACCAACAUAAAGGAUAAAAAAAAUUGGUAUGGUCACUGGGCACAUUGGGAAAAGUUGUUAUGGUGGUGAUUACUCACAGCCAGUCAGAAUGAGCAUACAUGGCAGUCGGAGGCUUACAAGUUGAUUGUGAACGAUCUCUACCAGUACUUCUUUGACACCUGGGGCCAGGGAUCCUCAGCAUUAGGCCUGUCCCACCACUACUACCAAGUCUGGGAUUUGUCAGUCUUGGAAACAAUGGGCAUUACUACUGGAAAGCAUGGAGAACACUAGGCCGAACCGAUCUGGUACAAAGUACAAGAGGAUCAUGCCAGAUUUGUGGCCAAAAGAGGAUUCUUGUUCCAACUUGAAAGGACUUGAUGACUCAUCAAGGCAACUCCAAGAAAGGGCUCUGGAUGAGUAAUAAUGUAACUUGAGGCCAAUGUGUGGUCCACCUGAGAAAACAAAGUGAGAGUACCAGUUCAUGAGCAGAAAUAUGGAGUAGCUCAGAGUGUAAAGGGGUGAAUAUUAUCACAAGGUAACGUGGACUGUUACCAUUUCAUGAGAUGAAGCUAAGGGACAUGGUCAAGGGACAGUCCAGAUUUUAAUGAGUGGUAAUAUUCCUUCCAUUUCAGAAUUUAUAACCAACAUUUGCUUUGUAUAAAUGACAUGCAGAGCCAAGUCGGCUGCAUUGAUUCAGUCCUUUAAAUCCACGUUCUGAAAUGGACAGGAAUGCUGACACACCUGUUGGUCUUGGUGCUAUGAUUGUGUGUGCUUGUCAAGCAGUGUGUCUUGGCUCACAACCCUCUCCCUUGGUUUUGGUCUACGGAGUUGUGCAGUUAAAAAUUGGUGAGGGUUGCCUGUUCAACAGCAGUGGGAACAAGGACAAUCCUAACUGUUGAAUAGUAAAUCGCAUCACCAUGGGCGAAUGGAACAUUUUGAGUCCUGCCAAGAAUGGAAGCAAUAAUGAAUACCAAGUGAUGUGAACUCCACAAAACAGAUGACCAAGGUCUGUGCAUCGCUUAUAUUUAUGCAAACAGCACUCAUAGUGACAAAUCACUAUGAAGAAAUUUUGCGAUAAUAAAUCUCCGUUAGCAGUGAAAAAGUUAAGUUAAUUUUGCAGUUUACUAACACAGUUUUUGUGUACCCCUAGAACUAGGGGUGUGCUUCAUCCAAUUUGUAAGGGGUUGCACCCUGACUCAGAAGAUUUUGGGCGGGGCUUGAGAGUCAACAUGGGUUUAUGUCGAGUCAACAAGUGCUUAUACAUGUACAUGUGUAUAUUGGAAAUAUAUCGGAAUCUCUAUCCACAUCCAUGAGGUGAUUUACAGUAUUUCUGAGGCUUGUUUCAAGUCAACUAGAAACUGGUUCAUGAUGCCCUGAAGCCCAUCUGCUUGACAAAUAUCUCAGCCAAUUUUGCUCUACUUGACAUUUCCAUUUCCAUUUUUUGUCUAGACAGUGGUUUCCUGGUCUGAACAUCUUCAUUUCACAAAUAAAACUCAAGCUGUCUUCACUAAGAUCAAGAUCAGAGAGUGAAGUGGAAGAUGUUUUGACGCCUGAUAUCUUGCUGGCUUCUUGCUGAAUGAACUUCACCAGAAAAACCUUUGCUGAAAAUAUUGCUAGCAAGUCUUCUGAUGACACACACACUUUCUUGACAAUCACUGAGUCAAUUGUCUAUCAAAAAGAGUAAGCAAGCACCCAAUAAGUGGUUUGAUAAACUUAAAAACCAUAAUAUUGUAGUGCCGAUAAUCCUAAGGUCUGGGUUUUAUUCCGAGGCUUGCCUUGAACUUUACCCACUGGUGAUAAAAAGACAGCCUGGGCUGAAACUUAAACGGUGUGUCCACCAUUCACCUCAACCGCCAAGCAGUCCCUAAGAGUUCAUCUAUUCUACAAAUUUCUUUUCAAACACUGCUUUAUUCUGGAAUUCUGGAACGUUGGACAUGACUAACAUGGGUGACAAGAUACUCAGUCAUUACGUACAAUGCCUGUGUUUAAGAACACAGUCUGCAAUCUGACCAGUCUCCACAAAUAAAGCCUCUAUGGGCAGUGAAAGUUGCACAAAUGAAGAGACAAACAGAUUUCAGUGCACCGGGACUGGAUAGUUAUUACGGGUGGGUGUGGCAGCAAACAUUUCUUCAACGGUGGUUGAUGUUGUGGAAAGUUAGACUUUUUAAUUAACCUAUCCUCAGGAAAUUGUCACUUAAAAAAGGGUAAAAAGGGAAAAACACUUCUCUGGACCACAACUGACCUUGACAAGUUUAAUGUCCCCUUAAAAGGAUGGAUGAGACUUUCGCCCACACAUUGGGGGCUUUUGGGCAGGUAUCAGUUUAAUGUUCCAUCACUGGUGAGAAGUUGAGAACCAAAUGAACCCCAUCAUUUAUUGAACGUGUGUCUGGAUCAUGUCACUAACAACUUCAGACUUGGCUCAUUCCCAAGACCCAUGAACAAGGAGCUUGUCUACCAAUUAAAGCCCAGACUUCUGGCUGAGUGUCUGAUGGUGUGAGAAGUUGGUCUAUGAACCUUCUCCCCCCCCCUCCACCUUCAGCGAUUCCAAACCCCUUUGAGAAAACAUCCUCAAGUUUUGUGAAAAAACCUUAUCGUAAAUCAGUCAACGGUGAAUAAAAUCACACAGACUCUGACUCUCGUGUGUCUACCAAAUGCAGUUGCCUCCCAUGAGGGCUUAAGCAAAAAAAAAAAAAUCACAAAUGGGGGGGGGACACUUCAGUUUUUGCAUUGUACAAAACUUUCCAGCCAAAAGGCAUAUUUAUUAUAAAGUCUGGAAAGACUUUUGUAGCAUUCCUAAACUCUGUAAAGCCACUUUCCACAUUUUUUUUCAUAAACAUGUCAGGUAUACAGUCAUGCAGAUUAAACAAGUUUGGAAGCUGUGGUCUUUUUUGCAGGCAGUGAAUGAAUGGGUUUAAAGAACGAUGCUGACGGGGAAGGUAAAUUAGGAGCAUGUCAAUAGAAGCAUCUUCUGUUUUUUUUCACAAAGCUGCAACAUGAAAAGCCAUAAUUAUUCAGAAUGGUAUGAUUUUAUUUCAGCUGUUUCCUAGGAUGGACAUUAACCCGGUUCUGUUCUAAUUAUGAAAGUCAUCUUGCAGUCAUGCAUGCAUGACAUUACAUUAACUUUCUGGAUAUGGCAAAAUGACCUCUCCAGAAAAAGCCACUGCCCUUGUCUCUCCACUAGGCUGUCAUAAAUUUAGGGAUAUUUAUGAUCUUGAUCUUGGGUGAGUGUUGACUGUGUUUUGAGGGGAAUAAAUAGCCCAGUUGGCUUUUUUAUGACAUUCCUUAAUCUUUGUUGCAAAUGGUGAAAAAUGUACCACGCAGUACCAGACUCCAAGUUCUGAAGUAGUUAAUGGUGACUGAGAUUUCAUAACUUCACCACACCGUGUCAAAUGCCAACGCUAAAAGUGAUAAGUGAAAUAUUCUCAGGUUUUUUUUGGGUAGCACUCUUUCAGUGCUUGAAUUCCUUGAUGUUUGCACUGGUGUUCAACAACUUCUCACUGAGCUGAACAACCUCUCGCAUGCAGUGUGGUCACACUAAAUUUAUGACCGAGGCCAAUGGCAGGCAAGUUAUCUGUAUGUUUUGACAGCCUAAGUUGCAUGGUAACCAAGUAUGUGACUUUAUGUCAAAGCAUGGGGUAUGUGGUAAUUUGGAUAGAGCAUUGGAUAAUGUGGUCUUUUGAGGAAUAAGAAAUUCAUUUACAGCUAUCGAUCACAGAUGUAAGCAGAUUAAUUUGAGACUGUAUUCUGUAUGGCAUAGUGUCAAUCAAAAUAAACUAUUUAACGGCAAAGGUUAGCACAAACCUUUAAUUAGAGACGAGAGGUUAAAACAAGGAGAAAACAACAUCAAGAAGUUGAAACUGAAGGUACAGGUGGUUUAAAACUCUUCAGCGAACCUUUAAAAAUGGGGGAGGGGCCUUACAAACAAAGUGUACAUGAAAUCCCCAACUUUUAAACACCCCAUGGAAGUAUGUGUAAGUGGAACAUAGGCUGGAUGCCAAAGCGUAAGUGAAAGUCAUGUGUUCAACGCACCCCACUCAUUUCUCCAGUGACCCUAUAUAACCAUAGCUAGACCAACUGCAGACUAUCAAAUUUUAUCUCCAUAAAUCUGAGACACUCUGCAAAGCGGUGCCUGAGGGGCAUAAAUGCACCAGCCACGUCAUAGAAAGUUUCAAGAAAGACCAAUAAAAGUUCAUUUUCGGUGUAAAUUUCACUGCAUAUCUAAGCAGUGCAGGUGGUGGUUGAAUUACAAUGGUAUUGUUUAUUCUGCGGGCUAUUAAAAGGUUUCCAUGAAACCUCUGCAGUAUUAAUAGUAAGAAAAAGGUUCAUUAAUGUGCAAUUAGAUACCCGACAGUGAUAGAUGUAACAAAUUACUGUGAAUUUUGUAACAUCAUAUCUACAAAUAUUGGGGUUUUCAUAUCUAUUAAUAGGAGGGUCAUGAAGAAAAGGGGGAGGAAAUAGAAAGUGCUUCCUUUUGGUCAAAAUUCUGUUGAAUGAUCACAGAAACAGCAAUAAUUUGGAGAAAUUCAGGAAGACACAGCAUGGCUUUGAACUAUCAAGAAGUUGACGUUAUAAAGAUGAACAAAGAAAUUGACUAGAGCAAGAUUUGAAGUUUGAACCAGCGACUUCCAGAACACUACUGGUGCUCUGUCAAUAUCAGGUUUGCUAGUAGAAAGCCAUAAAACCUGAAAUACCAUAUAGCCAGGGAUCAUGUCCCAAAUAGGCCGACAUGGUGCAACUUGGAAGUGGUGGACACCAGGGACGAAGAAGUUGGCACAGACGAAAAUCUUCCUCAAACAGCAGAAAACAAACUGACUUGGUCUUUUUUAUCCUCCCUCCCUCCCUUCCCCACCCCCCCCCCCAAGGCUACACCUGAGGUAGUACUUACUGGGACACAAGGUCACUGCUGAAACUAGUUCAGGCAGCUCAUUUUUUUCCAUGGGACAGUUCCAGGGAGUAAAAUCAGAACUCAAACUCAACUCUACAGGGGAACUGGAGCAUAAUUUGGAUGAUUAGUAUUCAAGGUGGGACAAAUUAGAUAAUUAUGGUGGAUGAUGAUGCUGACAAUCCAAAAGGAAAAAGAAAAUGCUGUAUCAGCUUGUGCUGCAGUUGUCAUUUAAAGGAGAAUCUGGCCCAUUAAUCGGUGUUUUAUAGAAUGAACGAUUUAGUGAAGGUGUUAACAGCCAAAUUUACUGGCUUAGCGAAAAUUCAGACAAGGAUCAGAAGCAAGCAUGAUGCUAGUGACAAUUUGGCUUCAGGGUAACGGUGUUUUUUUUCCGCCAAAUAUUCUCUGUUGUGUCUCGGUCUGCACAAAACAGCUUUUGCUCUUAUCCUUUGUCCAUAUAAUAAAUAAUAUUCAAGAGUUUAGAAUUUUUUGUAAGGAAUGGGGCUGUUACUGAACACGGUCUUGGGUGUAAAAGAAAAGAGGUAAUGUUGUUUGGAAAUAGCUCAAUAAUCCCAGAAAAUGAAGACAAUGUGCAUUUGUAAUGUAAUUUUCAACCUCAUACCUUGUAAAUAAGAGAGCUACGUGUUAGUGAACAAAGAUCAUACAUCAAGUUUGACAAAAUUAAUGUAACUUUGGUUUAAUUUAUAACCAAAUUAAUUCUAAUCAAUUCAAAUAUUAAACAAGUGUUUGGUUUGAAGUAGGCCUUUGCUUCAAAUAAUAAGAACGUUAAAUCUUUCGACUUUUUUUUUCAAGCAGGAUGUACAAUUUUUUUGAGGGGGUCACACACUUGAACGAACAUGUAGUCUGAAAAGACAAUCUCUCUCCUACUUCCCCUGGAUGGCACUUGCCUUAAAAUUUGUAACAGAUGGAUUUGAAAUCUCCAUGGAGCAAGAGGGCAUGGUGGCAAAGGUUAAAAGCAAUCAUUUCAGUUAUUCAGUUGUGUCAGUAAGAAAACCAGGUGCACAGGUGAUAAAGAGAAGAACCUGAAGAAGCGUAUGUUCUUCAUGAUUCAACCUCAUUCCCAAAAGUAUUAUGGGGGGGUAGUUUGACCAAAAUAGAGCCAAACUUACAAAAGUGACGAGUAAUUUCUCAAACCCACUCCUUACACGUACAUUGUAUACCUUAAUACAACAGAAUCAGUGUGAGAAUUGAGCUUAUUCUCUCCCCAAAAUACAGGAGAGAAAAUGCCUGUUGCCACAUUCUGUGGGUGGAUCAUUCUGAGAGUCUGUAAGUCACUGCUUGGAGAGACCCUUUGGGGAAAUUCAUUGGUAUUUCAGGCUUUUCCUGACAACAUUUGUUGCAUGUCUGGACAAUCUCAAGCAAUGUGCACACUUUUGACUCUUAGGUGUUUCUGUUAGUUGGUGCUUGGUAUCUGCAUGAGGACGCAAAUGAGUUUUGACAGUAACUAAGGUGCACAUCUUACUCAGCAAUUACCCAACAAUAACAGGGCUCCACUUCAUGAUUUAGAGGUCUACAUCUCCAACACACCCUUAAAUUGGUGCUACAGGUCUCCAAUAUCUAGAUUCUUCA